CCUACGGGGUGCAGCAGUGGGGAAUAUUGGACAAUGGGCGAAAGCCUGAUCCAGCCAUGCCGCGUGUGUGAAGAAGGCCUUCGGGUUGUAAAGCACUUUCAGUGGGGAAGAAAGCCUUGGGGCUAAUACCCUCGAGGAAGGACAUCACCCCCAGAAGAAGCACCGGCUAACUCCGUGCCAGCAGCCGCGGUAAUACGGAGGGUGCGAGCGUUAAUCGGAAUUACUGGGCGUAAAGCGCGCGUAGGCGGUCUGAUAAGCCGGUUGUGAAAGCCCCGGGCUCAACCUGGGAACGGCAUCCGGAACGGUCAGGCUAGAGUGCAGGAGAGGAAGGUAGAAUUCCCGGUGUAGCGGUGAAAUGCGUAGAGAUCGGGAGGAAUACCAGUGGCGAAGGCGGCCUUCUGGACUGACACUGACGCUGAGGUGCGAAAGCGUGGGUAGCAAACAGGAUUAGAUACCCCUGUAGUC
rnacentral:rRNA from 1 species